CAACCCUUAAGCCUAGCUUAGUGUUGGGAAUCUACACCAAGGCCUCUGGCCCUACUGUAGUUCCUGAAAAUCAACGGCGGAUCUAUAAUAGUCCUCUGAGCGUAGUAAUUUUUUAUCUCGCUUUUGUUAGGUGUUAUAGCCCUUGCCGCUAAACCCCCCAAUUUUUAAU
rnacentral:misc_RNA from 1 species